UUAUUUGAAUUCCGUGUGGAAAGAGCUCGGGUUAAUUUCGAGUGUUAUCUGCAAUCUAGAUGUUUAUAAAUCAUUUCAGUCGUUGAUAUAAUAAUUAAAGGUCGACUGAACAUGAAUUAUAUUAUACAAUUUAAAGCGCAUUUCUGUUUAUGCACGUGAACCCGUCUAACGUUAUUGUUAUUUCGCAGUUAUAUAAAGUAGCAAAUUAUCGUUCCUGAAUAGGUGGCGCCGUGGUAGCGGAUCCUGUUCCUCAACUUCCGGUUUCUGCACUGUGCAACUAUUUCAGUUAUAUUUUUAAUUAACGAUGCCAAGUACUUGUUGUUGUGUACCUGGAUGUCAUUUAAGAGGAGGACAUGCAUUUCCAAAUGACUUAAAAAGAAGGAAAAGUUGGAUCAACGCCAUGGCCCAUACGCAGAUUGGACGAGAACACGAUGAUAUCGUGGAGUCCAUCUCAAUUAUCAGCUGUUGUUUGCAAGGCACGUUUUACUGAAAAAGACAACGUGCAGGAAACUAUUCAUGGGCGCAAACCCACCAUACAGAGACUUAAGUCUACUGCCAUUCCCAGCCUAUUUUCCUGGACCAAGCAAGAGACUGAAUCGUCCGCAAAAAGAAAAAUCAGGGCAGUUUCCUGUGAAAACAAAAGAACUAAACUUGAUGAAUAUUGUAGUAGAAAUCUAGAGGAAAGUUUUGAUUGUAAAGUUGGUUUUCCUGAAGAAGUCAUUCAUACUGCAGAAAGGAUUUAUGACUGUCCACCACCAACUGCCGAGCUAAUGUUAAGCUUCACAGAUGGAAUUACGCAAUCACCAUCAAUGCCUAUGUUUUCAGCAGAGAAUUUUGAAAUGAAGACUCGUGACACAGCCAUGCAUUUUUAUACCGGUUUAGAGUUGUAUACUAAAUUUUUAUUUGUUUUGACCACACUUGGUUCAGCAGCACAUUGUUUGAGAUACAUAUAUUUUCAAAUUGAUAGGGUGUCAGUUGAAAAUCAGUUUUUUUAUGACUUUGAUGAAAUUGAGGCAUUAUACAACCAACUUUGAACUGUCUAGAUUCUAGAUUGAAUCUAGUGUUAAGAAUAUUGUGUAUACAUGGAUUGUUUUUAUGUCUAAACAGUGGUGUGAGGCUAACACUUGGCCAUCUAGUGGUUUAGUCAGGUAUUUUUCACCAUCCAACUUCAAAUUAAAGUUUCCUACGACUUGGAUUAUUAUUGACAGCACAGAAUAUCCCGUGAUAAAACCUAAAGCUCCUAGAGCUCAGGCAACCUUUUCAUCAAAUGAAAACAGAAACACUGAAAAUUCUUGAAUGUUCGACACCUGGUGGUUUAGUCAACUAUGUCUCUAUGUCACAUAGAGCGAAUUAUUGGACUUGGCAAAAAAUACAAAAUUCUAAUAAAUCCUAUGAAUGGAACUGAAACAAAACUUUCAUCUGAAAUAACAUUUAGUUGUUUUAUGUUGUGUAAUUUUAGAACUUGUAUUGUGCCAAAGGAUGCAUAAAUAAAAGUGACGCAAUGAA